GUCCUCACCCGAGGGACCGGUCCCUGGGAGACCGGUCUUUCCUGAGAGACUGGUUCUGUAAUAUACUGAAUUUUAGACCUAUUGGCAAGUUCGAGGGUUGGAUUGGCUUUUGGAACUGGUCCACGAUUUUUGACAGACCUUUGAAAGGUUUUGACAAGUUAAUGAAGUGAGAAGGUAACUGGAAAUGGACAAGUGCAUCGCAAAUUGAUUGCAAUGCUCUGAAUUUGAUAAAUUGCAAAGUUUGAAUAUGGAAAAUGGUAAAUAGGACUACCCUACAUAUUCUAAAGGGCUGGGACAAGUGUUUGGACAAGUUAGAUAAGUGGUGGAAUGGCUAAAAGCAAGAAAGCGCAUUGCUGUGGCUUUCUCUCGAAUUUUUGCAUUGUGUACCAGUACAACAUCAAUGCUCUACCGGUACAGCAAGCAGCAGAGUUUGCAGCUGCGUGGCAACAGGGCUAUUUUGGUCUUUUCACACCUUUUACUCAGCCUUAUCCUCCCAGCUCGACCUCUGGACCCCUUCAGAUGGUGCUGGAGCUUAGAGAAAGGCAUCUUCACCUCCUUCACUAUCUCUCUCUAGGAUUUUUCUCUCUCUACAAAGAUGUCGUCGUUUUGCGCCGGUUUCGCGUCCCGCUCGACGCUCACUGUUUAUGUGGACUUGGGGCCAGCUUUUAAAAGUUCAUCGUUUAGCGUCGGAUUUUGACGCAUUUUGGUGUCGUUGCUUCCAUCUGCGUGUAACAGGGGUUCCAGCAGCUAGAGGUGAGAUUUUUAUCUGUGAAUUGACCCCCUUAAAUCAGGGAUAAUCUACUUUGAAGCUUGCUUGAGGUUUCAGAACCUUAUUGAAUCAAAUUGGUGAUCUUGGGAACUGGUUUGGAAGGUGUUCUAACCAGGCGGGAAUUCAGCCGACCUUUGGGUCAUCUUUGGUUGGCUUUGGGAAGCCUUUAGAGACUUAAUUUGAGCAGAGUUGAGGCCUAUUGGAGUUAAUUGUGGGAGAUAGUAAUAGAGCCUUCCACAGCGGGAAAGGCUAGGGUUCCUGGCGAGGGGUCAGCGGC